rnacentral:rRNA from 1 species
AUGUCGACUUGGAGGUUGUGCCCUUGAGGCGUGGCUUCCGGAGCUAACGCGUUAAGUCGACCGCCUGGGGAGUACGGCCGCAAGGUUAAAACUCAAAUGAAUUGACGGGGGCCCGCACAAGCGGUGGAGCAUGUGGUUUAAUUCGAUGCAACGCGAAGAACCUUACCUGGUCUUGACAUCCACAGAACUUUCCAGAGAUGGAUUGGUGCCUUCGGGAACUGUGAGACAGGUGCUGCAUGGCUGUCGUCAGCUCGUGUUGUGAAAUGUUGGGUUAAGUCCCGCAACGAGCGCAACCCUUAUCCUUUGUUGCCAGCGGUCCGGCCGGGAACUCAAAGGAGACUGCCAGUGAUAAACUGGAGGAAGGUGGGGAUGACGUCAAGUCAUCAUGGCCCUUACGACCAGGGCUACACACGUGCUACAAUGGCGCAUACAAAGAGAAGCGACCUCGCGAGAGCAAGCGGACCUCAUAAAGUGCGUCGUAGUCCGGAUUGGAGUCUGCAACUCGACUCCAUGAAGUCGGAAUCGCUAGUAAUCGUGGAUCAGAAUGCCACGGUGAAUACGUUCCCGGGCCUUGUACACACCGCCCGUCACACCAUGGGAGUGGGUUGCAAAAGAAGUAGGUAGCUUAACCUUCGGGAGGGCGCUUACCACUUUGUGAUUCAUGACUGGGGUGAAGUCGUAACAAGGUAACCGUAGGGGAACCUGCGGUUGGAUCACCUCCUU